rnacentral:rRNA from 1 species
GAGUGAUCGAAAGAUGAAAAGCACUUUGAAAAGAGAGUUAAAAAGUACGUGAAAUUGUUGAAAGGGAAGCGUUUAUGACCAGACUUGGGCUUGGUUAAUCAUCUGGGGUUCUCCCCAGUGCACUUUUCCAGUUCAGGCCAGCAUCAGUUUUCGCCGGGGGAUAAAGACUUCGGGAAUGUGGCUCCUCUCGGGGAGUGUUAUAGCCCGUUGUGUAAUACCCUGGUGGGGACUGAGGUUCGCGCUUCUGCAAGGAUGCUGGCGUAAUGGUCAUCAACGACCC